AAGUAGAACUGAGGCUGGUACCUAGACUAUGGUGGGCUGAUUCGUAGAGGCUGGUUUGGACUGAAUGGAGAAGAGGUAAAACUGUGAGAAAGAGAGUGAAAAACAUGAAAAUCCAUGAGUCAAUAUGGGCCAAACCUAGGGCAAAUGUGUGGAGAUUUCAGGAAGACACAUGUUAUCUCAUCAAAAAGAAAGAGUUCUUGGUUGUCUGAGCUGCACUGAGCCUCAUGGAGAGUAAGUCUUCUGCUUCUGGAAGUUUUCAAACAGGUUGCAAAAGACUGCAGGCUCAAGUAUCCAGCUGAACUUGAGGAUGUGUAAGAUAUAUUCAGUAGAGAUAAGUUGUGUCGGCAGAUGGGGGCUGCUAGGAGAAAGCACAUUUUCACUGAUUUCAGGGCCAGCCCAACAUUAGAAUUCUUUCUCAUGAACCGCACUGCUGGGAUACAAUUUAAGAGUAUUCUCAUUUACCUGGUCUGGCUCUGUGAAACCUGCGUAAUGUAACUCAGAUCACCUGGAAUUUUUGUGAAGC
rnacentral:lncRNA from 1 species